rnacentral:rRNA from 1 species
CUUAGCCUACGGGAGGCAGCAGUGGGGAAUAUUGGGCAAUGGGCGCAAGCCUGACCCAGCAACGCCGCGUGAAGGAAGAAGGCUUUCGGGUUGUAAACUUCUUUUCUCAGGGACGAAGCAAGUGACGGUACCUGAGGAAUAAGCCACGGCUAACUACGUGCCAGCAGCCGCGGUAAUACGUAGGUGGCAAGCGUUAUCCGGAUUUACUGGGUGUAAAGGGCGUGUAGGCGGGAAGCCAAGUCAGCUGUGAAAACUACGGGCUUAACUUUUAG